rnacentral:rRNA from 1 species
UACGUAGGGUGCAAGCGUUGUCCGGAAUUAUUGGGCGUAAAGAGCUCGUAGGCGGUCUGUCGUGUCGGCUGUGAAAACCCGGGGCUCAAUCCCGGGCCUGCAGUCGAUACGGGCAGACUAGAGUGUGGUAGGGGAGACUGGAAUUCCGGGUGUAGCGGUGGAAUGCGUAGAGAUCCGGAAGAACACCAGUGGCGAAGGCGGCCCGCUGGGCAGUGGCUGACGCUGAGGCGCGACAGCGUGGGGAGCAAACAGG